rnacentral:lncRNA from 1 species
GGGAUCCACAGUCUACGAAACCCCACAGCUCCUAAGAAUUCUCUCACCUGCCUUCUGCCCUUAAGCUCCGGUAGAUUGCAAAUAACCUGCUUUCUUUCUGUUCCCGAGCUGCGUUCGGACCCAUGUCUUAUUGUAAAUCCCACGCAAGCUGCGUUCGGACCCGUCUGAUCGUAAAUCCCAUGUAAGGUACCUGCCGUCGGAAGAUUUGAACGUUCUACUUGGACACCUAAAACCCACAGUCCUCCAGACAGAAAGACAACAGGUACAAAGCCCUAAGGAUUAUAAAGGUAUGCUGCUUACCAUCAUCUUAGUGACCAAGGCAGCGAAGCUGUUUCUGUACCUUGGAACAGUCUUCCCUGACAAGCCAGAGAACAGUGAUAAAGCCACCAGCCUUGGGAUCAGGACUGAAAAGGCAAGAGUGAUGGAGAUUUCUCCUGCGCUAAGCCAAGAGAAGGUUUCAGCACUUCAGACAGCUCCCACCGAAGUAGCCGCGCUCCCAGCUGCUUGCAGAUGUUGAAAAGGAAAGCCUCGGUUUGUCUUGAGGUUGUCAGCAGGUGCAAGACACGUAAUAAAAUGCAAUGUGUUCCUAAUUCAUUGCAUAUCCUCAGCUUUAAAUUUGGGUAGCAAAAUGAUUACUCUAGAUUCUUCAGUCUUGGCAAGUAUCUGUACCUAAAAAGCAGUUUUUCUACCUAA